AUAUCAAUAAGCGGAGGAAAAGAAACCAACAGGGAUUGCCUCAGUAACGGCGAGUGAAGCGGCAACAGCUCAAAUUUGAAAUCUGCCUCUAGGCCGAGUUGUAAUUUGUAGAAGAUGCUUCGGGUGUGGCACUGGUCUAAGUUCCUUGGAACAGGACGUCAUAGAGGGUGAGAAUCCCGUAUGUGACUGGCUGCCUUCGCCCAUGUGAAGCUCUUUCGACGAGUCGAGUUGUUUGGGAAUGCAGCUCAAAAUGGGUGGUAUAUUUCAUCUAAAGCUAAAUAUUGGCCAGAGACCGAUAGCGCACAAGUAGAGUGAUCGAAAGAUGAAAAGCACUUUGGAAAGAGAGUUAAACAGUACGUGAAAUUGUUGAAAGGGAAGCGCUUGCAAUCAGACUUGCGCGCCGUCGAUCAUCCGAGGUUUUCCCCGGUGCACUCGGCGGUGCUCAGGCCAGCAUCGGUUUCGGUGGUUAGAUAAAGGCCUUGGGAAUGUGGCUCCUCCGGGAGUGUUAUAGCCCUCGGUGCAAUGUAGCCUACUGGGACCGAGGACCGCGCUUCGGCUAGGAUGCUGGCGUAAUGGUUGUAAGCGA
rnacentral:rRNA from 1 species